CUUGCUCUUCAGUUGAAAACAGGUGGAUGGAAUGAAUCUUGUUUGGUGAUUAGGUAAGAUGGAUUUAAUUUCAUUUAAUUUCUUAUUCAUCCUUUAAAAGAAUGUUUAUAUGGUUAUGAAACAGGAACCCAACAAUAACACUAUCAGAAAACCCCAAGAAAUCUUCAUAAAUUCACACGAUUUUUCAUGACUUUCCAAUUGCCAAAUUGGUUCAUGGAGAAAAAUAAAUCCUUGCAACUUCAGAAAGAUAAACUAUAGCAGAUUGAAAAUAGCAGGAAUCUAACUAUAACAUACAUUCAUUAGAACUGUCUAGGUUUCCAGAGUAUAGUUUUAUUAUGAUAGUCCCCUCUUGUAAAUAAUGGAAAUGGAUUUUUGUGCUGGUAGUCAGAGAUAUUGUUUUAACCUGUAUUAUUUACAACAAACAGGGAGAAGCACAAUCAGAGGAUAAAAUCACAACACAGAAUUCAGCCGGUCAUUGCUGCUGUUUUUUUAAUUAUUUGGGGUCCCCUGAUUCCCCUUUCUGGAAGCGCGGAUCUGUGGAUUCCUCCGCCCUGCUAGUCACGGAACUGGGCCGAACCAGCCUGUAAACCACUC
ensembl:lncRNA